AUUGAACGCUGGCGGCAUGCCUUACACAUGCCAGUCGAACGGCAGCAUGAUCUAGCUUGCUAGAUUGAUGGCGCGUGUCGCACGCGUGAGUAAUACAUCGGGACGUGUCCUGUUGUGGGGGUGAUCACGUCGAAAAAUUUACUAUAACACCGCAGACCCCCUGGGGGAAAAAGGGGGGCAUCAUGGCACCUUGCACAAUUGAAGGCGCCGAUGUCGGAUUAGCUAGUUGGCGGGGUAAAGGCCCACCAAGGCGACGAUCUGUAGCUGGUCUGAGAGGACGAUCAGCCACACUGGGACUGAGACACGGCCCAGACUCCUACGGGAGGCAGCAGUGGGGAAUUUUGGACAAUGGGCGAAAGCCUGAUCCAGCAAUGCCGCGUGUGUGAAGAAGGCCUUCGGGUUGUAAAGCACUUUUGUCCGGAAAGAAAUGGCUCUGGUUAAUACCUGGGGUCGAUGACGGUACCGGAAGAAUAAGGACCGGCUAACUACGUG
rnacentral:rRNA from 1 species